GAUGAAGAACGUAGCGAAAUGCGAUAAGUAAUGUGAAUUGCAGAAUUCAGUGAAUCAUCGAAUCUUUGAACGCACAUUGCGCCCCUUGGUAUUCCGAGGGGCAUGCCUGUUCGAGCGUCAUUAUAACCCCUCAAGCUCAGCUUGGUGUUGGGGCCUGCUGCACAGGCAGCCCUUAAAAUCAGUGGCGGCGCCAUCUGGCUCUAAGCGUAGUAAUUCUUCUCGCUAUGGAGUCCUGGUGGAUGCUUGCCAUCAACCCCCAAUUUUUCUAUGGUUGACCUCGGAUCAGGUAGGGAUACCCGCUGAACUUAAGCAUAUCAAUAAGCGGAGGA
rnacentral:misc_RNA from 1 species